rnacentral:rRNA from 1 species
AUACGGAGGAUCCGAGCGUUAUCCGGAAUCAUUGGGUUUAAAGGGUCCGUAGGCGGGUUUGUAAGUCAGUGGUGAUAGUUUUCGGCUCAACCGGAAAAUUGCCAUUGAUACUGCAAGUCUUGAAUCAUUAUGAAGUGGUUAGAAUGUGUAGUGUAGCGGUGAAAUGCAUAGAUAUUACACAGAAUACCGAUUGCGAAGGCAGAUCACUAAUAAUGUAUUGACGCUAAGGGACGAAAGCGUGGGUAGCGAACAGGAUUAGAAACCCGGGUAGUCC